CAGACUUUGUCAUGGCUCAGGAUGAACGCUAGCGGCAGGCUUAACACAUGCAAGUCGAGGGGCAGCGGGGUGUAGCAAUACACUGCCGGCGACCGGCGCACGGGUGCGUAACGCGUAUGCAACCUACCCAUAACGGGGGCAUAACACUGAGAAAUUGGUACUAAUUCCCCAUAACAUUCGAAGAGGCAUCUCUUUGGGUUGAAAACUCCGGUGGUUAUGGAUGGGCAUGCGUUGUAUUAGCUAGUUGGUGGGG
rnacentral:rRNA from 1 species